AGACCCGAAACCCGGUGAUCUAGCCAUGGGCAGGUUGAAGGUUGGGUAACACUAACUGGAGGACCGAACCGACUAAUGUUGAAAAAUUAGCGGAUGACCUGUGGCUGGGGGUGAAAGGCCAAUCAAACCGGGAGAUAGCUGGUUCUCCCCGAAAGCUAUUUAGGUAGCGCCUCGUGAAUUCAUCUCCGGGGGUAGAGCACUGUUUCGGCUAGGGGGCCAUCCCGGCUUACCAACCCGAUGCAAACUGCGAAUACCGGAGAAUGUUAUCACGGGAGACACACGGCGGGUGCUAACGUCCGUCGUGAAGAGGGAAACAACCCAGACCGCCAGCUAAGGUCCCAAAGUCAUGGUUAAGUGGGAAACGAUGUGGGAAGGCCCAGACAGCCAGGAUGUUGGCUUAGAAGCAGCCAUCAUUUAAAGAAAGCGUAAUAGCUCACUGGUCGAGUCGGCCUGCGCGGAAGAUGUAACGGGGCUAAACCAUGCACCGAAGCUGCGGCAGCGACGCUUAUGCGUUGUUGGGUAGGGGAGCGUUCUGUAAGCCUGCGAAGGUGGCCUGUGAGGGUUGCUGGAGGUAUCAGAAGUGCGAAUGCUGACAUAAGUAACGAUAAAGCGGGUGAAAAGCCCGCUCGCCGGAAGACCAAGGGUUCCUGUCCAACGUUAAUCGGGGCAGGGUGAGUCGACCCCUAAGGCGAGGCCGAAAGGCGUAGUCGAUGGGAAACGGGUUAAUAUUCCCGUACUUGGUGUUACUGCGAAGGGGGGACGGAGAAGGCUAUGUUGGCCGGGCGACGGUUGUCCCGGUUUAAGCGUGUAGGUGUGUGUUCCAGGUAAAUCCGGUUCACUUUAACACUGAGGCGUGACGACGAGGCACUACGGUGCUGAAGCAACAAAUGCCCUGCUUCCAGGAAAAGCCUCUAAGCAUCAGGUAACAUCAAAUCGUACCCCAAACCGACACAGGUGGUCAGGUAGAGAAUACCAAGGCGCUUGAGAGAACUCGGGUGAAGGAACUAGGCAAAAUGGUGCCGUAACUUCGGGAGAAGGCACGCUGACACGUAGGUGAAGUGAUUUACU
rnacentral:rRNA from 1 species